AAUCUUCGGAUUUUAGUGGCGAACGGGUGAGUAACACGUAAGUAACCUGCCUUUAAGACGAGGAUAACAAUUGGAAACAGUUGCUAAGACUGGAUAGGAAAUUAGAAGGCAUCUUUUAAUUUUUAAAAGACCUUUUUCGAAAGGUAUACUUAAAGAGGGGCUUGCGGCACAUUAGUUAGUUGGUAGGGUAAAAGCCUACCAAGACCAUGAUGUGUAGCUGGACUGAGAGGUUGAACAGCCACAUUGGGACUGAGACACGGCCCAAACUCCUACGGGAGGCAGCAGUAGGGAAUUUUCGGCAAUGGAGGAAACUCUGACCGAGCAACGCCGCGUGAACGAUGAAGUAUUUCGGUAUGUAAAGUUCUUUUAUUGAAGAAGAAAAAAUAGUGGAAAAACUAUCUUGACGAUAUUCAAUGAAUAAGCCCCGGCAAACUAUGUGCCAGCAGCCGCGGUAAUACAUAGGGGGCGAGCGUAUCCGGGAAUUAUUGGGCGUAAAGGGUGCGUAGGCGGUUUGGUAAGUCUAUAGUUUAAUUUCAGUGCUUAACACUGUUCUGCUAUAGAAACUAUCAGACUAGAGUGAGAUAGAGGCAAGUGGAAUUCCAUGUGUAGCGGUAAAAUGCGUAAAUAUAUGGAGGAACACCAGAGGCGUAGGCGGCUUGCUGGGUCUUUACUGACGCUGAGGCACGAAAGCGUGGGGAGCAAACAGGAUUAGAUACCCUGGUAGUCCACGCCGUAAACGAUGAGUACUAAGUGUCGGGGAAACUCGGUACUGAAGUUAACACAUUAAGUACUCCGCCUGAGUAGUACGUACGCAAGUAUGAAACUUAAAGGAAUUGACGGGACUCCGCACAAGCGGUGGAUCAUGUUGUUUAAUUCGAAGAUACACGAAAAACCUUACCAGGUCUUGACAUACUCUGCAAAGCUAUAGCAAUAUAGUGGAGGUUAUCAGGGAUACAGGUGGUGCAUGGUUGUCGUCAGCUCGUGUCGUGAGAUGUUAGGUUAAGUCCUAAAACGAGCGCAACCCUUGUCACUAGUUGCCAGCAUGUUAUGAUGGGCACUUUAGUGAGACUGCCAAUGAAAAAUUGGAGGAAGGUGAGGAUCACGUCAAAUCAUCAUGCCCCUUAUGAUCUGGGCUACAAACGUGAUACAAUGGCUGUUACAAAGAGUAGCUAAAACGCGAGUUUAUAGCCAAUCUCAUAAAAGCAGUCUCAGUUCGGAUUGAAGUCUGCAACUCGACUUCAUGAAGUUGGAAUCGCUAGUAAUCGCGAAUCAGCAUGUCGCGGUGAAUACGUUCUCGGGGUUUGUACACACCGCCCGUCAAACCACGAAAGUUGGUAAUACUCAAAAACGGUAGCCUAACUUCUUCUGAAGAGGG
rnacentral:rRNA from 1 species